rnacentral:rRNA from 1 species
CAGUCGCCGCGGUAAAACGGAGGGUGCAAGCGUUAUCCGGAUUUAUUGGGUUUAAAGGGUCCGUAGGCGGAUCUGUAAGUCAGUGGUGAAAUCUCACAGCUUAACUGUGAAACUGCCAUUGAUACUGCAGGUCUUGAGUAAAUUUGAAGUGGCUGGAAUAAGUAGUGUAGCGGUGAAAUGCAUAGAUAUUACUUAGAACACCAAUUGCGAAGGCAGGUUACCAAGAUAUAACUGACGCUGAGGGACGAAAGCGUGGGUAGCGAACAGGAUUAGAUACCCGCGUAGUCCCUGUCUCUUAUAC